GGGUUGUGAGGUUAAGCGACUAAGCGUACACGGUGGAUGCCCUGGCAGUCAGAGGCGAUGAAGGACGUGCUAAUCUGCGAUAAGCGCCGGUAAGGUGAUAUGAACCGUUAUAACCGGCGAUUUCCGAAUGGGGAAACCCAGUGUGACUCGUCACACUAUCAUUAACUGAAUCCAUAGGUUAAUGAGGCGAACCGGGGGAACUGAAACAUCUAAGUACCCCGAGGAAAAGAAAUCAACCGAGAUUCCCCCAGUAGCGGCGAGCGAACGGGGAGGAGCCCAGAGCCUGAAUCAGCAUGUGUGUUAGUGGAAGCGUCUGGAAAGGCGCGCGAUACAGGGUGACAGCCCCGUACACAAAAGCGCAUGUGCUGUGAGCUCGAUGAGUAGGGCGGGACACGUGGUAUCCUGUCUGAAUAUGGGGGGACCAUCCUCCAAGGCUAAAUACUCCUGACUGACCGAUAGUGAACCAGUACCGUGAGGGAAAGGCGAAAAGAACCCCGGCGAGGGGAGUGAAAAAGAACCUGAAACCGUGUACGUACAAGCAGUGGGAGCACCCUUUGGGGUGUGACUGCGUACCUUUUGUAUAAUGGGUCAGCGACUUAUAUUCUGUAGCAAGGUUAACCGAAUAGGGGAGCCGGAGGGAAACCGAGUCUUAACCGGGCGUUAAGUUGCAGGGUAUAGACCCGAAACCCGGUGAUCUAGCCAUGGGCAGGUUGAAGGUUGGGUAAC
rnacentral:rRNA from 1 species